GACGAACGCUGGCGGCGUGCCUAACACAUGCAAGUCGAGCGGAGUCGAUCGACGGAAGCCUUCGGGCGGAAGAUGGUUGACUUAGCGGCGGAUGGGUGAGUAACGCGUGGGCAACCUGCCUCGAAGACCGGGAUAACAGUCCGAAAGGGCUGCUAAUACCGGAUGUGGUCAAGGAUCCGCAUGGAUUUUUGAUUAAAGGGGAAACCCGUUUCGAGAUGGGCCCGCGUCCUAUCAGCUAGUUGGUGAGGUAAAAGCUCACCAAGGCGACGACGGGUAGCCGGCCUGAGAGGGUGACCGGCCACACUGGAACUGAGACACGGUCCAGACUCCUACGGGGGGCAGCAGUGGGGAAUCUUCCACAAUGGGCGAAAGCCUGAUGGAGCGACGCCGUGUGAGUGAAGAAGGCCUUCGGGUCGUAAAGCUCUGUCCUAGGGGAAGGAUAAAUGACGGUACCCUAGGAGGAAGCCCCGGCUAACUACGUG
rnacentral:rRNA from 1 species